CUCAUAGUCGCUUUAAAAUACGAUUAUAUAAUCUUCGUAAACCAAAAUUAUACACAAUUUUUAAUUUACGAUACCAUAUGUAAUGAUUCCUAUGUUUGUUAUGUCUUUACAAUUUUUUAUCAUUCAUUGUUUCAGAGAAAAUGAUAAACAACUGUGAAUGACUUAUAACCGAGAUCCUAACAAUAUGUCAUAUAACUCUGAUGUAAUUACAUAUAGUCAAAAACUAUUUUCAUUCCGUUGCAAUUCUACACUCACAUUGAGAAUCAUAUCCUGCAAUGAUAAAAAUACGGUAAACAUUCAUGUUCUGCGAUCAGUAUGUCCGCAAAAUUUUUAUUUCCGUGUGACUGUUUGUUUUCAUUUCAGUGGGUUGAGUGCUGAUUUGGUCAAGCCAGACAGCUUUUAUUGAGUUGUUUUAUUUAUUAUUUUAUUAGGUUUGGUUAUUUUAUUGAGUUAAAAAAAUGACAAAUAAAACAUGUACCCGUGAAAGUGGUUUACGAAGAACAAAGUUCCAACGCCAACUAUGUUUCUGGUUCCAAGAUGAUUGUGAUUUCGAUUUUUUUAUGUCUUUCUCUUCACGAACGCGGCUUUCUGCAUGCUCCACACCUCGGUCUCCAGAUAAAAUAAUAGUAGUGAAAUUAUUUUUCAAUAAAAGUUAUGUAGUAAUGGAAUUUACAUAUUGUGUUUUAGCUUUAAAAAGAGAGAA